UAUAUCUUGGGAACUCUGAAAAAGGGGUUCUGGAACCCUGGAGAGUGAGAAGGGGGAGUUUUGAAGGUGCAAUAGUCAUCUUGGGACUUGGGACUUCCUGUCCUGAAGCAAGAGAGGAAGGAGCUGCUUACUGCUGAGCCUAUUCUAACCAAGCCUAUUGGUUACUUGUUAAUCAUCUGCUCUGUGAGGCAUUAGGUGAAGAGAUGGGGAUAGAAAGGCAAAGCAGAAAACAGGCCCUGCCCUCAAGAGCUUCCGUUCUACUGGGAAGGGAGACAAGGAACAUGGACUACAGGAAGGACUUGGAUAAGUGGCCGAGCAAUCAGAGCAAGGCACCUAGGAUGGUGACAGGAACAGAAUCCAUGCCACAUGAAGAUACAGGGAGGAACUGUGCGUUUUCAGCCUAGAAAGGAGGAUGAGCACUAGAGGCAUAUUAAUGGAAAACCACUCCCUGCCUGCCUUAAGGAAGCUCACAUUCUCGCAAAAGAAAGUUCCAACUGUAACUCAGACUGAAUGACCCUGAGUUCCCAGCAGAGAAGAUGGCAGUAAAUCUGGAUGACUUAUUUCCAUUGAUAAAGUCA
rnacentral:lncRNA from 1 species